rnacentral:lncRNA from 1 species
UUUGGGCGGCAUUUUCCUCUCCUCUCAAUUCUCAAUCAAUUCCUUCAUUCUUCUUUCAAAAGCUUCUUGAAUUAUAUAUGGAAAGUUGAAUAAUUCAUCAAUUACCGGAAGAUCUUUUGCGAAAAUAUGGAAGCGUUUCCAUUCUUAAUCUAUUAAUGAUAGAUUGGUUCCUUUUCUUCAUUCUAUCUAAAAGUGGUUUGUUAUUCAUCUGUUUUUGAGUCAUGGUUUCUUUCAAUCGGCGUUACAGACUUACAAUCAUCGAUCAUUUCUUUCAAUCGGUGUUUCAAACUCUUUGAUCGUACCAUAUACAGUUGAUUUCAACAGGUAUGUUUUUCAGAAACACUAAUUUUAGGGUUUCUGAUGUAAAAUUGUUCAUCAGACACACUAAUUUUUUGUUGAAGAAAAUACAUAUUGUAUUUUUUUUGUUGAUUCAAGCAUAAAUACGGAUUCCUCAGGAGCGGGUUGGAUUAGUCCCGAGACAAGAACGAUUGGAUAUUUUUGUACGAUUAUGGAUUAUCUGUAGGAAAGGGAAAUUUUGAUUGGAUAUUUUUGUUCAAUUUGAUAAUUUAUUUGUUAAUUUCUAAUUCAAGAUACACAAAAUAUGAGAUUAUAUGUUUAUUUUUUAAUUUUUGUAUUUGAUGUGAUGUCUUCUAGGUGUUUAAUGAAAUGCUACAUAUGAUCAAGUGGAGCAGUUGUUAAAAUUCUCUUUGUUUUAUGAUUCUUAUGUUUUCCAAUUGCCUUUUUUUCUACUAAUAUAAUUAUAUAACAUGUACACUUGCAGACAGUUUGUGCAUAUGCAGAAUGCAUCAGCAACAAAGUAUGUCUUUCUAACGCGUCUCGCCUGGCUAUUAAGGUAACCACCAUAUCCAUUAUUCAUGAUACCAGCUAAUUUUUGUAUUUGGUAAAUGUUGUGAGUCACACAUGAUUGGUUAUAACUAGAUACAUGAUGUUUGAUACUUUGAUGUAAUGCCUCACUGAUCCGCUAACAAGUGUGACAGAGUUUUAGUAUUCUUCAUAAGAAAUUUGUCAACAGAUAAUGAUCCAAGAUUGGAAUCCUCAGAAUGAUCUGCAGGUUUGGGAGUGUAUGAUAUCUAUCUCUAUUUAUAGUCACUACAUACUAAUUUCAUGACUUUUGUUAGGCAAUGUGCAGAGCUCACAGAAUUGGACAACAAGAAGUCGUUAUAACAUAUUAUAAAGUAGUAUAGAUUAUGUAUGAUUAUGAAGGCUUCAAACUUUGCAUUGACAUUUGAAAGGUUCUUAUUUUGUUGGUUUACCGUCAUUCUCUAAUUUACUAAUGCUAUAUUAUUACAGCAAGCUGCUAUUGCAAUUGUCAUGGAUGUAGAUGCCACCUUGGGGAAGAAAAAAGUUGCAGAGCAGAUGGGUUUUUCAUGGUCUACAUUGACCUUUUGAAUGAGGACCUUCAUGAACAUCAGUGCAUUCUGAUUGCUUUGAACCUGCUUCUUAACCAGAAAUUAAGGUUCCAACUGCGAUAUUAGAGGCAAGCUUGACCAGUUACACUCACAAGAAGAAGUCAAACAUGGAACCUUAAUUAGAAAAUCAAGAAAUUGAGAGCUUUGUGAAGAUAUUCAAAGGUGUUGGUCAUGGAUGGGCUUCAAGAUAUAGCGAGGAUAAUGAAUCUGUUGAGAGGAGUGCUGAGGUGGCCAAGCAUGUGAUUUUUUAAGCGAGUCGAGUGGUUAUUUUUCUUAUCUCACUUAUGAAGGUGUAACAUGAUAUACUUGAAGCCAAGAACCUUACACUCUAAUUCAUCAUUGUAAAGCAUUGUGCUUUAGAGUAGAAUGACGAGUUAGCUUCUGAAGUUGGAGACUUUACUUGAUGAUAGCGUGGGGCAAAAUGUCGAGUUGGAAUUUGAAAGGAGUGGCACGUCUUUGACCGUUCAAUUGGUGGCUGAAGACUUACACUCAAUAACUCUUUCGGAGUUAGGAGUGGCACGUCUUUGUGAUGUACAUUUUAGAUGUGAGAUUUUUAACCUGUUUACCUACAAAAGUGUUGACUUAAGUUACGUUGUAUGUCUAAUUAGUUUAACGGUUUCAGGUAAAACCUUUAACCGAAUAGGAAACCAUUUGAAAGUCUCUAUAAGAGUACACCUAGCUGAGUAGCCGUAGAAUAAUCAUUUUUGUUAUUUGAACGAUUUGAUAAACUUAUCUCUAUUUUUUUAUUGCCAACAAACUU